rnacentral:rRNA from 1 species
AGGAAUUGACGGGGCCCGCACAAGCAGCGGAGCAUGCGGCUUAAUUCGAUGCAACGCGAAGAACCUUACCUAGGCUUGACAUGCAUUGAAAACUGUUAGAGAUAACAGGUCCGCAAGGGCUUUGCACAGGUGGUGCAUGGCUGUCGUCAGCUCGUGUCGUGAGAUGUUGGGUUAAGUCCCGCAACGAGCGCAACCCUCGUCUUGUGUUGCCAACAGGUAAUGCUGGGAACUCACAAGAGACUGCCGGGGUCAACUCGGAGGAAGGUGGGGACGACGUCAAGUCAUCAUGCCCCUUAUGUCUAGGGCUGCACGCAUGCUACAAUGGCCGAUACAAAGGGCUGCGAUACCGCAAGGUGGAGCGAAUCCCAUAAAGUCGGUCUCAGUUCGGAUUGAGGUCUGCAACUCGACCUCAUGAAGUUGGAGUUGCUAGUAAUCGCGGAUCAGCAACGCCGCGGUGAAUACGUUCCCGGGCCUUGUACACACCGCCCGUCACGUCACGAAAGUCGGUAACAC